CCCUAGCAGAGGAGCAGGAGCAGCAGCACUGCAGCAGGCAGUAGCGUAUGGCGACCUUGGAAUCCUGUUGGGCUGUGAGGUGCUGGGUGUGUUGUUUUACUGUACGUCUCUUUCGCCACCGCGUAGUAUUUGCUUUGCGUCAGACCAUGGAGGGGAAGUGCUGUGUACCAGGCUGUACUGGCUGCUACCAAAUUGGCGAAAAGAUAUGUCUUAAAAUUUGCAAAAGACGCCGGACUGAGGAUGAAAUAAUCUCUUGCUAUUGCACUCGAGAACUUUCCACUAGAACAUUCUGAGACAGAUUUAUCAAGAAAACUGAUUUCUGAAUGAUCCCAUUCUCGAAAAUACUGCAGAUACUUGGAAAGGAGUAACAGUUCCUUUGGAAAAACCUGGAUUGAAAGAAGGUGUCUUGUAUUAGUUACCGAACUGUACCAGUUAUUUGAAUUGAACAAAAGAUGUGCAAGUCAAGUCAAAGAAAACAGGGGAUGGAAGGUGGUGGUUAUGGGUUGAGAAUGACUAUAUCGGAAAGCAUAGAAACAGCUUCUGCAAAAAGGUGAAAAAUUCGGUUUUCACGGUUAUGAUGAAUUUGUGAGAGAAACUGAAAAUGUUACAGGGAGUGAAGUGAAGUGAGAAAAUAAUAUGUACCGAACGUGUACCUGAAUUUUGAGACAGCUCCACCUGAUAUUAGAUUCAUAACAGUUUGCCCGAGCCUCAGUGUUAAACUGUGUAUUCCCUAGGGACUUAGUAGUGUAAUUAAAGUUGAAAGUGUUUUGAAGUUAUGUAGAGAUUUAAUUAGUGACAGAGAAAUGACUUGCACAAGCCAUUCCUUCCUUCUUGAAAUUUUAGCAGUUACAGAAGGUAAGAAAAGAUAUGAUUCUUUCAUUUCUGAAGUCGCAAAUUAAAUUUACUAAAAUCCAGUACUAGUCAUAAAUUUGAUCUAGUGUGUAUGAUUCUAUGUUCUUUAUUAUUUCUCUACAUACCUUUUAAGGUUUUGAAGAUGUCUAGUUUCGUCAUUUUACCACAUCCAAAUUCAUUAAGGGAACAAAGCUGUAAUAAAAAUGUGAACCUAAGGAAUCCUAAACCACAUGAACUAUUUGUGAUGUCUGCUAGAUGAGAUUCACAUCAAGCCGUAUGUAGAUUUUAAGGCAGAUGAUGAUACUGGAAUUACUUUAGAUACUGUUGAUAUACCAUUAUUGAAAGCAUUCUUUAUUCCUAUAAAAAUGUUGUGUAUGCAUUGGCUCUGAAGAAGCUGCAAAAAGCUUGUUUAAACUAGCAGUAGGUGUAGAAGCUGAUGGGUUUCAGACUCUUUAAAUUGUUGCAGAUGAUGAUCCAUUAAUAGGUUUGCAAAUCCAAUGCAAGCAGAUUUUGUGUACCCAUCCUGCAGAUAGUAAAAGAUCUGUUUUUUCUACAUAACAGUAUUCAUGGUUCUAAGUGUGUGUGAGACAACUGAAUAAAUGUAAAGAAACAUAGUCAUA